rnacentral:misc_RNA from 1 species
CAAAAAGACUGUAAAAUAAGGAUGAAGCACUCGACGUUCAAGCGGAUGAAAAUAUUAUCUCUGUUGGACGUACCGUAAAGAGCCCAAUCUGUUACAGGUGCCACGGACAUGCCGCACUUGAAGACACCAUGAUAAUCCAUGGCGAGCGUCAUGCCCGUCGCGUAUCCACCAUAACUCCAGCCCCAUAUCGCCGUCCUGGUACGGUCGAUGAACGGUAACGUGUCUUGCAAGUACCUGCAAUCGACGGGAAAAUCGUCUACGUGUUAGAUCGCUCGUUAAUGAAACCGGCCAAUUCGAAACAGAGGACGACGCAACGUCACGCUGGUUAUUCGCCGGAGAAUCCAAUUGUCGCGCGUCCAAAGCGACACGGGUGUCCGCGAAGACUCGCGGAAACGACGCGUUCAAGAAUGUGUCAGGGUCGUCGGCGGAUAUCCGCGUCACGCGCCACCGAGGUCUCUGGUCGCGUGUGUAUCCAUCCCUG